CAUGUUUGCUGUGGAUUUUUGUCUCUAUGCUAUCAAGCUCGGUGAUGUGGGGAGAUGAGGGGAUGUUCUCCUACAGAAACUGCAGUGAGACUCCUGUUUUGGGGUUUGGUUGCCUGAGAACGGGCUACAGGAUGGAGGAGAGUAAUUCUCCCCUCACGAGGCCUGGGGAGGAUUGUGUCAGUCAGGGACCCAGCAGGAACAGAGGCACACACAGAUGAAGUGACUUGA